GUGCCAGCCGCCGCGGUAAUACGAAGGGGGCUAGCGUUGUUCGGAAUCACUGGGCGUAAAGGGCGCGUAGGCGGCCGAUCAAGUCGGGGGUGAAAGCCUGUGGCUUAACCACAGAAUGGCCUUCGAUACUGUUUGGCUUGAGACCGGAAGAGGUUAGUGGAACUGCGAGUGUAGAGGUGAAAUUCGUAGAUAUUCGCAAGAACACCAGUGGCGAAGGCGGCUGACUGGUCCGGUUCUGACGCUGAGGCGCGAAAGCGUGGGGAGCAAACAGGAUUAGAAACCCGCGUAGUCC
rnacentral:rRNA from 1 species